rnacentral:piRNA from 1 species
CUUUUCUGUUUCAUCCAAACCAAGGGG